GACGGAGGAUGCAAGUGUUAUCCGGAAUCACUGGGCGUAAAGCGUCUGUAGGUGGUUCGAAAAGUCCACUGUUAAAAAUUGAGGCUUAACUUCAAAGAUGCCGUGGAAACUUUCAAACUAGAGUAUGGUAGGGGUAGAGGGAAUUUCCAGUGGAGCGGUGAAAUGCGUAGAUAUUGGAAAGACCACCGAUGGCGAAGGCACUCUACUGGGCCAUUACUGACACUGAGAGACGAAAGCUAGGGGAGCGAAAUGGGAUUAGAUACCC
rnacentral:rRNA from 1 species